rnacentral:lncRNA from 1 species
ACCUGUUGUGUGCGUGGGUGGGAGGGGUUGACCGCCCCUCAGACCUGCCUGGUGCCUGGAGCCUGCUCUGCAGAUGUGAACACCUGGAAGCUGACACUCUGUCCAUGCAGAUCGGCUGGUGCACCUGGGAACGGAGCUCCUCCUGAGCUCCCUCUCAGACCUGGUGUCUGUCCAGGACCUUGCAGCGCCAACAGCCACCCACCCAGUGACUGCACAGGGAAGUUCACAGGCUGCUUGACACAAGCAAACAACGCCGAGAGGGUCUGUCUUGCUUUGCGGAAGAAAAAACUCCAAACCAUCAGUAAAUAUAUUAAAGAGGCUGAGCAGGAAUUCUUGCCAGAUGUGAUUAACAAGGAUAUGCACUUGACCGUGACAGUACAUGGAUGCUUCUUGAUCAUGACACAUGGUCAAGCAGAGCAGAAGGGAGGAAGGAGAAUGGCCCAAGAGGACAAAGCCAGAUUUACAUGGUGUUUCCAAGGUCCCCUACAGAGCCUUGAAGUCCAGCUUGAGGACCCCUGGCUUCCAGUUUCUGGGUCCUGGAUUAGGGAGUCUCCAUCUUUCAAUCUCACAGAAUAUACCCCACUUUCUCCUACUGUCACCCAACUUGGGGAUCGAUACAGGCCUAUUUGUCGAGUAAGACUAUUAAAGGGGAAAAGAUACCCAGUAUAAUCACUGUUUCAUAACACACCUGAAUGAGGAAGAGUGUUAUCUCAGACCAAAGGACGGAGCGGGGGUGUAGCUCAGCUCAGUGGUAUAGCGCUUGCCUAGCAUGUACAAGGGCCUCUUUCAACCCCCAGCGCCAGGCCAUGGGAUGGAGGUGCAAGAACAGGGGAAAGAAGUGCCCGCUCUGAUGGCUCCCACUGCCAGGGUAAUUCUCAAGAGCAAAUGAUGUCCCUGGGGCAGGAGAGACUGUGUGUCC